GUACCUGAUCUGUUGUAUCCCCUAUGAGCGGUAUGACUGGCUGAAUAGAAUCAGUGAGUUCCUUCUGCCCUGAUGAUGACCCUGCAGGGAGGCUACAAGGCCCUACAGCACUGUGCCAUCAUGCAUUUUUCCAUUAUUCCACAUGGGAUCCAUGAUGUAAUGUGAGUGUGCUACUCCCGCCCUGGGGCUACAGUGGGACUUCUGCUGUUGGUGGAAUAAUGUGCAAUCUCCUGUUUUGUUUGUUUUACCUCACAUCGGAUGGAAUUCCCCUCUUAUCUAAAUCCAAUAAUUACUUAAACCUGGAUGUCAAAACACUUUCCAUUAUUAUCAGAGCCCCCUUUUCCCUUUUUUCCUUUGAUGCCAGUUGUUACCGUGCAGGAACAGAGUCCCUGGAUCUUUUUUAGCUCAACCGAGUUGUCAGGAUCCCAAUCCACAGGAGUUAAGUCCGUCCCAGAAGACCGAACAACUGUAUGUCUGAUCUCAGGAUGUUGUGCUGACUUGUCAGGAUUAAGACCACACAAUACUGUAUCUAACUUGCAUUUAUGAUCAGUCUUAAAAUGUGGAGGCUGUUUACAGAAAGAAGAACAAGACGCUGAGGAUGUUUUCUUACUAAAGACUAAGAGUAAAUAGAAAGCUGAAGAACCAUACAGCAUUACAAAAUAAAUCAAAAAAUCCACUUUAUACAGACAAGUUUAAAAUAAAUAGAUUGGUAUAAUUGUUGAGUACUUAUGUCACUAUAUAACUGUCAUUUUAAAUGCUAGAAAAUGUGAUAGGAAAAUUACUCACUGACUUUGGACUUGUUGUGAAUUUCUAAUCCCUGAUUCACAGAACUGAAGUAAUAGCAUUUACAAAUGGGACACUUAGACACUCUAAGGGAAGCUAAAGACUACAAUGACUCAAGCGGUUAAUGGAUUUCUACCUAAUUUGAUGGCCUGUUUAGCACUCCCAGCAUAA